GUCGCUGGAUGAAUGGUCUAAACCGUUGGUUUUCUACCAUUACGACGCGGGUUUGAUUCCCGCAUUGGACA